rnacentral:rRNA from 1 species
GAUGAACGCUGGCGGCGUGCCUAAUACAUGCAAGUCGAGCGAACAGAUGAGGAGCUUGCUCCUCUGACGUUAGCGGCGGACGGGUGAGUAACACGUGGAUAACCUACCUAUAAGACUGGGAUAACUUCGGGAAACCGGAGCUAAUACCGGAUAAUAUAUUGAACCGCAUGGUUCAAUAGUGAAAGACGGUUUUGCUGUCACUUAUAGAUGGAUCCGCGCCGCAUUAGCUAGUUGGGAAGGUAACGGCUUACCAAGGCAACUAUGCGUAGCCGACCUGAGAGGGUGAUCGGCCACACUGGAACUGAGACACGGUCCAGACUCCUACGGGAGGCAGCAGUAGGGAAUCUUCCGCAAUGGGCGAAAGCCUGACGGAGCAACGCCGCGUGAGUGAUGAAGGUCUUCGGAUCGUAAAACUCUGUUAUUAGGGAAGAACAAAUGUGUAAGUAACUAUGCACGUCUUGACGGUACCUAAUCAGAAAGCCACGGCUAACUACGUG